rnacentral:rRNA from 1 species
ACUCUCGGUUCCCAAAUCACGUUCUAUUCCCCACGAUCCCCUCCUAGUUGGCCAACGGCAGCGGCGGUGUGGAAUUUUAGGCCGGCGGCGGCGGUGCGUUUUUUCAGGCCGCCGGUGCGGAUUUUCGGGCCGGCGAUGGGGGUGCGGAUUUUUCAGCCCGCCGGCGGCGGUGCGGAUUUGGUGGCGGCCCCCAGAUGUAGCUGAGAUGGGCGGCAAGGCCAAUCCGCUCGAGUAGGAGGAGGAGCUAGAAAUAAUCGCAGGACGAUGUGCUCCCCGAGUUUGAUUUUCGGCUGUCGCUGUACCAGUUUAAUCCCAGCUACAAUGGAAUGGAGUGGAACGUAGAAGGUUGCUGAGAAGGAUGGGCACAAAAUGGAGAAGAAGAUAAUGAAGGAUGAACAAGAAGAGGCUGGACUGUAGGGAUAGGAUGCUUUUCUUUGCUGCUAUCAUGAUUUUUGGCUUUGGAAUGUAAUGGAUGGCGG